GAUGAAGAACGUAGCGAAAUGCGAUAAGUAGUGUGAAUUGCAGAAUUCAGUGAAUCAUCGAAUCUUUGAACGCACAUUGCGCCCCUUGGUAUUCCAUGGGGCAUGCCUGUUCGAGCGUCAUUUGUACCUUCAAGCUUUGCUUGGUGUUGGGUGUUUGUCUCGCCUUUGCGUGUAGACUCGCCUUAAAAUAAUUGGCAGCCGGCGUAUUGAUUUCGGAGCGCAGUACAUCUCGCGCUUUGCACUCAUAACGACAGCGUCCAAAAGUACAUUUUACACUCUUGACCUCGUAUCAGGUAGGGAUACCCGCUGAACUUAAGCAUAUCAAUAAGCGGAGGA
rnacentral:misc_RNA from 1 species